UUUCGCAAUGCCCGAAAGGGUGACGAAGCGACGCCGCGUGUGGGAAGAAGGCCUUCGGGUUGUAAACCACUGUCGGGAGUUAAGAAAUGUAAGGAUGUUAAUAGCAUCUUUGCUUGACUAAGGCUCCGGAGGAAGCCACGGCUAACUCUGUGCCAGCAGCCGCGGUAAUACAGAGGCGGCAAGCGUUGUUCGGAAUUAUUGGGCGUAAAGAGCACGUAGGCGGCUAUGUAAGUCGGUUGUGAAAGCCUUCCGCUCAACGGGAGAACAGCAUCCGAUACUGCAUGGCUUGAGUGCGGGAGGGGAGAGUGGAACUUCUGGUGGAGCGGUGAAAUGCGUAGAUAUCAGAAGGAACGCCGGCGGCGAAAGCGGCUCUCUGGCCCAUAACUGACGCUGAGUGUGCGAAAGCUAGGGGAGCAAACGGGAUUAGAUACCCCGGUAGUCCUAGCCGUAAACGAUGGGCACUAAGUAGAGGGGUUUUA
rnacentral:rRNA from 1 species